GCCUUCGUGGUGUAACGGUAGCACACUCGGUGCAUAUUCGAGAGGUCCAGGUUCGAGUUCUGGCAAGGGCA
rfam:Stegodyphus mimosarum contig119719, whole genome shotgun sequence.